GUGUCAAUGAUGAGAACUCAUAUUGUCUUGAAGAGAGAUGAUGACAAAAAAGAAAGAAAUCAAUAGUAAAAAGAUUCCUGUAAAGUCCC